CUGAGUACGGCGGAACACGUGAAAUUCCGUCGGAAUCCGGGAGGACCAUCUCCCAAGGCUAAAUACUCCCUAGUGACCGAUAGUGAACCAGUACCGUGAGGGAAAGGUGAAAAGCACCCCGGAAGGGGAGUGAAACAGUUCCUGAAACCGUGUGCCUACAAGUAGUUAGAGCCCGUUAAUGGGUGAUAGCGUGCCUUUUGUAGAAUGAACCGGCGAGUUACGAUUUGUUGCAAGGUUAAGCGGAAAAAGCGGAGCCGUAGCGAAAGCGAGUCUGAAUAGGGCGCAUAAGUAACAGGUCGUAGACCCGAAACCAGGUGAUCUACCCAUGUCCAGGAUGAAGGUAAGGUAAUACUUACUGGAGGUCCGAACCCACGCACGUUGAAAAGUGCGGGGAUGAGGUGUGGGUAGCGGAGAAAUUCCAAUCGAACUUGGAGAUAGCUGGUUCUCUCCGAAAUAGCUUUAGGGCUAGCCUCGAGGUAAAGAGUCAUGGAGGUAGAGCACUGUUUGGACUAGGGGCCCUUCUCGGGUUACCGAAUUCAGAUAAACUCCGAAUGCCAUGUACUUAUACUCGGGAGUCAGACUGCGAGUGAUAAGAUCCGUAGUCGAAAGGGAAACAGCCCAGACCACCAGUUAAGGUCCCCAAAUAUAUGUUAAGUGGAAAAGGAUGUGGGGUUGCUUAGACAACCAGGAUGUUGGCUUAGAAGCAGCCACCAUUGAAAGAGUGCGUAAUAGCUCACUGGUCGAGUGACCCCGCGCCGAAAAUGUACCGGGGCUAAACAUAUUACCGAAACUGUGGAUGAACCUCUUUAGAGGUUCGUGGUAGGAGAGCGUUCUAAGGGCGGUGAAGUCAGACCGGAAGGACUGGUGGAGCGCUUAGAAGUGAGAAUGCCGGUAUGAGUAGCGAAAGAAGGGUGAGAAUCCCUUCCACCGAAUAUCUAAGGUUUCCUGAGGAAGGCUCGUCCGCUCAGGGUUAGUCGGGACCUAAGCCGAGGCCGAUAGGCGUAGGCGAUGGACAACAGGUAGAGAUUCCUGUACCAGUGCUAAUUGUUUAACCGAUGGGGUGACACAGAAGGAUAGGGAAUCGCACGAAUGGAAAUGUGCGUCCAAGCAGUGAGUGU
rnacentral:rRNA from 1 species